rnacentral:rRNA from 1 species
UACGUAGGGCGCAAGCGUUGUCCGGAAUUAUUGGGCGUAAAGAGCUCGUAGGCGGCCUGUUACGUCUGCUGUGAAAUCCCGGGGCUUAACCCCGGGCGUGCAGUGGAUACGGGCAGGCUGGAGGCAGGCAGGGGAGAACGGAAUUCCCGGUGUAGCGGUGAAAUGCGCAGAUAUCGGGAGGAACACCGGUGGCGAAGGCGGCCUUCUGGACAGUGACUGACGCUGAGACACGAAAGCGUGGGGAGCAAACAGG